GGUUGGAUGGCCGAGCGGUCUAAGGCGCUGGUUUAAGACACCAGUCUCUUCGGGGGCGUGGGUUCGAAUCCCACUCCAGCCA
rfam:Lottia gigantea unplaced genomic scaffold LOTGIsca_315, whole genome shotgun sequence.